CGGGGUGUAGCUCAGGCUGGUAGAGCACCGUCUUCGGGAGGCGGGGGCCGUUGGUUCGAAUCCAAUCACCCCGACCA
rnacentral:tRNA from 1 species